rnacentral:RNase_P_RNA from 1 species
GGAAAAUGGAGGAUGUAUUACAGCAUACAUACUGACCAGCUCGUCUGGUCUCAAUGCUGUGGGAAAGUCUGAGAGUGCUAAUUGCUUUCUUGGCGGAGCAUGCGGUGAACGCAUGGCUGGGAACCAGAAACGAACCGAUGGAAGAGCUUUCGCGAUGACCCCUUUGGAUGAAACGGCCCAGCUCACUGCGAUUUUGAGUCAAAUGUACAUCGCCGGAUUCGUCCGGAAACUCAAUUCAGAUUACUCCUGUUUUCC